UCGAUACUGACACAUACUCACAUUUUUUCUAGAGAGGUGUCAUUAGUACAUAGAAUUCAACUACUAUCAUAAUUUUUUUUUUGAUACCUUAAUCCAAACACUACUUUAAAUACACAUGAGCAUUUACGAUUUAAUAUAAUACUGUGGAUGAUGCUAUGGAAAUUGACUCCGACAUUGUCUUGGAUGAUGUUGCCAAUGUUGUAGAGUACUGUGUCGGACGGGGAAUGGGUCUUGAUCUUCAUGAGCAUGCUUGUUUUGCCUUCUGCCGUACUCUUGAAAUGGGUCUUGUACCGCUGAGUUCUGUAUUAAAGCUAUUUCAAUUUUGCACCUUCUCCGAUUGAAAGAUUUUCAGGGGAGCAAGUUAUGGUUGAGCCCCAUGGAUUGCAUGUUGCUCGCAUAUCAUACCGCUUCCUUCUUUUGAAACCUGAAAAAUUCUCAAAGCUUUGGGACUGGUCUUGUUUUCUAGAACCCUUAAAAAAGCCUUGCGAAUCAGAUCUGAUAUGGUGUAGGUUUCAUAUAUUAAAAGUUGUGUUCAAAUUAGGUUCAAGAGCUAGUGAAAGCUCGAAUAUUGAAGCUCAGGAAGUAUCUGUCUGUUUAUCGCGCUGGGAAGAGUUUUGUGGGGACACAACAAUAGAGAGAGCUGGUUGGUUGGUUGAACCAACAGCAGACUACAUGUCUGAUUCUCCUAAUAGAAACAUGGAUUUCAAUCAAGAGAACUGUUUAAAUUCUUUAAGAUGUAAUUAUCAUCCUGUUGGUUCGCCAAAGGUACACGAGGUGCAACCGCCUCUUAGGACCAAAAGAGCUGUCACAAGGUACACCUUGUGUAAUUUUACUCAGUAGUAUAACUUAAACACCGUCCAACUGCUUCCAAUUAUACUGUUUGAACUUUCUUAA